GAUGAACGCUGGCGGCGUGCCUAAUACAUGCAAGUCGAGCGAACGGACGAGAAGCUUGCUUCUCUGAUGUUAGCGGCGGACGGGUGAGUAACACGUGGAUAACCUACCUAUAAGACUGGGAUAACUUCGGGAAACCGGAGCUAAUACCGGAUAAUAUUUUGAACCGCAUGGUUCAAAAGUGAAAGACGGUCUUGCUGUCACUUAUAGAUGGAUCCGCGCUGCAUCAGCUAGUUGGUAAGGUAACGGCUUACCAAGGCAACGAUGCAUAGCCGACCUGAGAGGGUGACCGGCCACACUGGAACUGAGACACGGUCCAGACUCCUACGGGAGGCAGCAGUAGGGAAUCUUCCGCAAUGGGCGAAAGCCUGACGGAGCAACGCCGCGUGAGUGAUGAAGGUCUUCGGAUCGUAAAACUCUGUUAUUAGGGAAGAACAUAUGUGUAAGUAACUGUGCACAUCUUGACGGUACCUAAUCAGAAAGCCACGGCUAACUACGUG
rnacentral:rRNA from 1 species